AUUGAACGCUGGCGGCAGGCCUAACACAUGCAAGUCGAGCGGAGGAAGGGAGCUUGCUCCUGGAUUCAGCGGCGGACGGGUGAGUAAUGCCUAGGAAUCUGCCUGGUAGUGGGGGAUAACGUCCGGAAACGGGCGCUAAUACCGCAUACGUCCUGAGGGAGAAAGUGGGGGAUCUUCGGACCUCACGCUAUCAGAUGAGCCUAGGUCGGAUUAGCUAGUUGGUGGGGUAAAGGCCUACCAAGGCGACGAUCCGUAACUGGUCUGAGAGGAUGAUCAGUCACACUGGAACUGAGACACGGUCCAGACUCCUAAGGGAGGCAGCAGUGGGGAAUUUUGGACAAUGGGCGAAAUCCUGCUCCAGCCAUGCCGCGUGUGUGAAGAAGGUCUUCGGAUUGUAAAGCACUUUAAGUUGGGAGGAAGGGCAGUAAGUUAAUACCUUGCUGUUUUGACGUUACCAACAGAAUAAGCACCGGCUAACUUCGUG
rnacentral:rRNA from 1 species